rnacentral:rRNA from 1 species
GAUGAACGCUGACAGAAUGUUUCACACAUGCAAGUCAACUUGAAGUUCGGUUUGGGUGGCGGACGGGUGUGUAACGUGUACAGAGCUUGCCUCACAGAUAGGGACAACAUUUGGAAAAGAAUGCAUAUACUUGAUAUUAUGAUUAUAGGACAUCCUAGAAUUAUGAAAGCUAUAUGCGCUGUGAGAGAGCUGUGCGUCCCAUUAGCUAGUCGGAGAGGUAACGGCUCUCCAAGGUGAUGAUGGGUAGCCGGCCUGAGAGGGUGAUCGACCACAAGGGGACUGAGACACGGCCCUUCCUCGUGCGGGAGGCAGCAGUGGGGAAUAUCGGACAACGGACCAAGAGUGUGCUCCAGCAAUUUCGUGUGCACGAUAAAGUUUUUUGGAAAGGGAAGAAUUUUCAGUUGGGAAGAAAAAAAUGACGGUACCAACAGAAGAAGUCCCGGCUAAAUAUGGCCCAGCAGCCGCGGUAAUACGUAUGUCACAGCGUUUAUCCGGAUUUAUUGGUUUAAAGGCGCGUCUAGGUGGUUAAUAAGUCAGAGGGUGAAGAGGCAGGCUUAAACUAGCAACUGCGUUGGAAACUGCCAAUCUAGAGUACUGGUGAAGUAAGUGGAAUUUCUAGUGUAGAGGUGAAAUUCGUAGAUAUUUGUCGGAACGCCGAUGGGGAAGCCAGCUUGCUGGCAAGAUAUUGACGCUGAAGCGCGAAAGCGUGGGGAGCAAACAGG